rnacentral:sRNA from 1 species
GUUCUGAUUCGAUCGGGAUACUCAUCAAAUUACGUUGAAAACCGAGUUUGCUUCUCUUGCCUAUGGCGGGCCACAUAAAUUGCAUUUGCGACUAAGUCUUAUGACCGGUGGAUUACAAAAGCGGAGAGCGCUCACAACUUUUAUAGCUGGAGUUUUCAUCACAUCGUCAGGGCAGUCCCU